rnacentral:snRNA from 1 species
AUACUUAUCUGGUAGAGGAAAUACCAUGAUCAUGAAGGUAGUUUUCCCAGCAUGAGGCUUAUCCAUUGUACUCUGAACAUGCUGACCCCUGUGAUUUCCAUAGAAGUGGGAAACUAGACUGCAUAAUUGGUGGUAAUGGGGGA